UACGUAGGGGGCAAGCGUUGUCCGGAUUUAUUGGGCGUAAAGAGCGUGUAGGCGGCCACACAGGUCUGCUGUGAAAACUCGAGGCUCAACCUCGAGCUGUCGGUGGAAACCGUGUGGCUAGAGUCCGGAAGAGGAGAGUGGAAUUCCAGGUGUAGCGGUGAAAUGCGUAGAUAUCUGGAGGAACACCGGUGGCGAAGGCGGUUGCCUGGGGCUUUGCUGACGCUGAGGCGCGAAAGCGUGGGGAGCGAUCCGG
rnacentral:rRNA from 1 species